UCCCAGAAUGAGACUAGAGCCCACAUAGAUGGACACUCAAGAGAGCUUGUAUUGGUCCUAUCACAUGAGGACAUAGAAUGAAGCUGCCAUCUAUAAAUCACAGAGGUCCUCUCCCCAGGACUCUACCAUAGAUGUCCUUGUCUGCUUCUCAAGUGCUCUGUGAUGCUGAUGCUGGCCUGGAACUGCAGAAAUGUGCCUAAGCCUUAACCUCCCUGGAAGAAAUUCAGAGACCCAAGAGCCAACAAGAAAGUCACACCUGUUUAGUGAAAAGAACAAGCAAACACCAGCCCAGGCGGGUUCUCAGCCCAGAGCAUCUAACCCUCGCUCCAGGCUGAAGGCAGAAGAGAGGGGCCAUAUCCAUGAAAACAUUGUGGAGAGCUUUCAAGUGACAAGAGGAGGUGACUCAAGGUCGAGGUGUUGAUGAGCUUCCUAGAAGGGUCACCUAGGGAUGCUGAUGUGGACUACACCAGUGAACUAAGUCCCUGGGUAUGUUCUGAGUCAUUGCUGCCCAUUCCCUUUGACUGCCUCUCGGAUGGUAUGGGAGAGCUAAGGCAUGCACCUGUAUCUGUGGAUUCUGUACUGACUGGCCCAAUGUGGACACUGGUUGAUGAUGCUAUUUGGGGGCAGCGGAUCAGCAUCAUGAUGUAUUUCAGACGAGUCAUUAAGCUCUCUGGGCCCUGGGAGUUCUGCCCUAACAACUGGAGAGGUGAUAUGACUCCUUUCUGCCUCCUUGGAUCCCUGUGAGGAGAACAAUAUUUAUGACAGCCUGGAGCUAGGGGAUUUGGGAUGAGAUUUGUAGCACUACGUUAUCCAACUUUUAACUUCCUGUCUCUUCGGGUUAAUGACAUUCUCCAUCCGGCCCAGCAGUGCUGUUCUGUGCUGGAGACACUUAUCCACCUCUCCCACCUUCUGAGUCUUUUCGAGGGACAGCAGAAUCAUCUUGAUUUCAAGGAUACUUGAAGCCUCACCUGAGGUCGUACUUAGCAGCCCCUACCACCCACAGUAGGAAGGGUCGUUGACUGGGAGUUUGUACUGGUUGAACUGCGCCCACGGGCAGGAGGCCUGCUGAUUCUGCUUAGUCUAUACACAGUAUGUGCUCAGCAACACCAGAUAGGAACUCAGGCGACAUCUUAGUUACUUUUCUGUUGCUGGGAUAAAACAGUAUGCCUGACAUAACUGUAAAAGAAAGUGUUUAGUUUUAGAGGGUUUGUGUCCAUGAUGGCUGAGCAAAAGAAGGGCAGCAAAACCAGCUGUCCUUGUCAGGGUCUCCAUUGCUGUGAAGUGAAACCAUGACCAAGGCAACUCUUAUAAAGGACAACAGGUUUAGAGGUUCAA